CUCCAGCUCAUCCCAUCCUCUCAUGGGAGAGGGAAGAGAAAUGGCUGCAGAGGAGCCUGUUCAGGGGCCGGUGACCUUCGAGGAUGUUGCUGUGUAUUUCACCAGGAACGAGUGGGCUCUGCUGGACCCUACUCAGCGAGCCCUCUAUAGAGACGUCAUGCAGAAGAACUAUGAGAAUGUGACCUCGCUGGGGUUUCCUGUUACCCAGCCUGAUGUGAUCUCCCAGCUGGAACAGGGGGAAGAGCCAUGGGU